UUAUAUGCUCAAGUAAAGG
rnacentral:rRNA from 1 species